rnacentral:lncRNA from 1 species
CGGAGAAAGAUUUGAAAUGACUUAACAAAACCCUAAAUCGGAAAAGAUAAAAAGGGGUUUUGAAAGAAAUCUCGAGAAAACAAUUGAAUGUGUAGUGUAAACACAGAUCUAAAAGAAAUCGGAGUAACCUCGAAGGUUAGGGUUUCAGAAUAACCCGAGAUGGUGAGAAAGUCUUGGAAACCAUCGAUCUAAGGAGGAGAAGUCAAUAGUCAUGCUUGAAUAGCCAUGGCUGGCCUGAGCAAGGUCAAAGAUGACCGGAGACAUCCAUAAGAACUGAGAUCGAGCAAGGUGUGGGCCAAGCUUCUUCAAGGUCUGGUCUUGAAACAAUAGUAAUUAGCAUGUGCGAGUCAUAGGAGGCUGGUACAAGCCUUCAAUGGCUUUGGAGGCCAUGGAUUUGGGAGAUCUUCAGGUAGCGAUUGAAGGUGGCAGCUAGGGUGUGAGAGAGAGUUUGAGAGAGAAUUGGGAGAGGGGAAAUUCAAAUGCAG